CGCUUCGUUGCGCAUAUGUAACGAUUGCUCGUGUCUCGUGGAUCUCACCAUUGGCAGACCACAUAGCUGUGACAAACGUGACUGCAGUACAUGUCGCUGUCAACGUUCUUACAAUCACUUUUGUUGGAUGACACCGUUGAAAAGCGUGGACAAGCCCGGUCGCUUCAUACUUAUAUUCUAUGAUUUCGAAACGCAGCAGAAUGUCUCAAUCGUUGGGGACGCCUCGACCAAUAUUCAUAUUCCGAAUCUCUGCGUGGCACAGCAGGUGUGUACGGAUUGUAUCGGUGAAGCCGAAGCAACCUCACGCUGUUCGGCUUACGGCCUCGUGCGCGAGUUUAUUUUCCAAAGAGAUUCCGUCAGGGCAUUGCAAGAACUGGCGACAAGACCCGUCCAAAAUUUUUCGCGAAUAAUUUGCAUCGCGCACAAUGCACGCGGGUUCGAAGCGCAGUUCAUUUUACGCUAUCUCGUUGAAAACAACGAAACUCCUCCGAAGGUAAUUCUGAACGGAAGUAAAAAAGUUUUGAUGGAGUCUGGGCAUACGCGAUUUCUCGACUCCUUGGCAUACAUGCCUAUGUCUCUCGGGUCACUGCCAAAGGCUUUCGGGCUUCCGAUUGGCACGGUUGAAGGCUCCUUAUCGCAUCUUUUCAACACACCGCAGAGUGUGGACUACGUGGGCGCGCUACUACCCGUCGAAAUGUACUCACCGGACACCAUGAGCAGCGAGACGAGGAAAGAAGUUUACGACUGGUACCACGAGACACAAGAACAGGGUUACAGCUUUGACUUUGACCGGGACCUUGUAAAGUACUGUAGGUCGGAUGUAGACGUUCUCCAACGCGCGUGUAUCGCAUUUCGAAAUAUAUUUUUGGAACGCGGCAAAGUGUGCCCCUUCACCGAGAGUACAACUAUAGCGUUCGCGUGCUCCGCGGUCUUUCGGAGAAACUUUUUACAGCCCGAGCGUAUAGGCAUCCUACCGGUGGGAGGAUAUCGCUUCGCUGAUAACCAUUCGCAAAAGGCUUUAGACUGGUUAGCAUGGGUGGAACACGAGUCGCAGCCAGUCAUCCGUCAUGCCGGUAAUUCGCGCGAGUUCAGAGUACCCGAGACGGGACGUGCGGUGGACGGGUAUUGCGUAACACCUGAUGGCGUACGGCGAGUUUUUGAAUUUCACGGGUGUAUCUGGCACGGCUGCCGUAAUUGUUUCAAAAUCAAUCGCGAUCGCCGAUCCGUGAGCGGAGUGUCGCUCGACAAGCGUCACGAAGAGACCGUCGCGAAAACUGCCCGGAUGACCGCACUGGGAUACCACGUAACCGAAAUGUGGGAAUGCGUCUUCGAUCGUCUCCUGAAGAACAAUGCUGAGAUGAGGGCGUACAUUGCGAGUCACUCGACUAACUCGCGUACCGAGUCUUUAAACUCGCGGGAUGCUUUCUAUGGCGGACGUACAGGUAACACAUCGUGUUAUCACGAGGUAAAAACGGAUGCGGACGGAGUCGCGACCGAGCAGAUACGCUAUGUCGACGUGUGCUCGCUUUACCCUUACGUCUGUAAGAACGGUCGAUACCCGGUGGGACAUCCGGUCGUCUACGUGGGUGACGAGUGCCGCAUGUUAACGGGGAUGGGCGGUACGGACAUAGCAAGGGUCGAGGGCUUGGUGAAGUGUACGGUCUUACCGCCUCAAAACCUAUACCACCCAGUCUUGCCGGUGCGUAUGCACGGAAAAUUGAUGUUUGCCUUGUGUCGCACGUGCUGCGAGAACCUCGAACAAAACGGCUGUCGGCAUAGCGAAGAGAAACAGCGGGAGUUCGAGGGUACGUGGGUAUCCGACGAAUUGAAAAAAGCCGUAGAGAAGGGCUACCGGAUUUUAAAGAUUCUGGAAAUCUGGCAGUUUCAGAUUACUUCUUUUGAUUCUUCCACUCGGCAAGGCGGCCAUUUCGCGCAGUAUAUAGACACGUUCCUCAAAAUCAAGCAGGAGGCCAGUGGCUGGCCUGCCGAUUGCAAGGACGAGGCAUCGCGCAAUAAUUAUCUCGACGAGUACGAGAGAGUAGAGGGGAUUCGGCUAGACCGUUCCAGAAUUUCAAAGAAUCCCGGUCUGCGCUCCGUGUCUAAGUUAUGCCUGAAUUCGUUUUGGGGGAAGUUUGGACAGCGGGAAAAUAUGACGAAAACGGAGAUAGUGAAUACGCGUCAGCAGCUAUUGGAAUUAAUCACCAACCCCGAAGUCGUGGUAUCGGGCAUAUUGAUAGUAAACGAUACCGUACUGUACGUCAACUGGUCACACGCCAUGCAAUGCGUUGAACCGUCGCCUUUAUCCAACGUCGUUAUCGCCGCGUAUACGACUGCCCAAGCUCGCUUAAAAUUGUACGAGUAUCUCGAACUACUCGAUAGACGCGUACUCUAUUACGAUACGGAUUCCCUAAUUUACCGGCGAAACAUGCUCGAUCCGAACGAGUACGAACUGCCAACGGGAAAUUUCCUCGGUGAUCUCACGGACGAAUUGGAGGCAUACGGUAAGGGCUCCUUCAUUCACGCGUUUGUUUCGGGGGGUGCGAAAUUCUACGCGUUUAUGGUACGGCGCCCCGACGGCAGCGACGCGGAAAUUUGUAAAAUCAAAGGCAUCACGCUGGAUCACGAUAGCAAAAAACGCAUCAACUUCUCGGCAAUUAGGAGAAUGGUGGUGGAAUCAGCGGAUCCCGUGCGUCUGGAAUACCGCGCUGUUCGUCGGACCGCAUUGCACGAUGUUGUCACGCGAACGGAGACGAAAACCUGCAAACCCGUCUUCGUCAAGAGAUUCCGCCGCCCGAAUUCAUUCGAUACGUUACCGUACGGGUACAAAGACGGAAACGGGGGGUGAACAAGUCGUCCUCAGGCACGUGGAAUGAGGACCGCAUGCUUCGUGAGGCUCGCUCUCGCUCGACCUUUCUCUUCACGAAUAAAAUUUAGGUACAUCACGUCAACGAUCCAAGACCUCGUUUCUACCCUCCCUGUCGUCAGCUUCGUUCAGCUUUUCGUCAUAUAAGUACAGCGGCCGGGGUGCGACACGAUCAGAAUCAGAUUCACCGAAGACAAUCGAGGUCACGCACGCACGACCGAGAAGGAAGAGAAGAAGAAGAAGAAGAAGUAUACGGACAAGCAAUCUCAGUUGCAUCAAGACUCCGCCAAAGUGAAGCGACGCUAGACGAUGACUCUGGAUACACGUUGGAAGCAUCCGUUCUCUGCCAUCGUUGCCGGUCCAUCGGGCUGUGGAAAGUCCAAUUUCGUGAAGACUUUCUUAAAACACUGUGAUCGGAUGUGUGAUGCAAAAUUCACUCGCGUCAUCUGGUACUACGACGAAUGGCAACCGUUGUACGAAUCCACCAGUGGUAUAGAAUAUCGUGAGGGUUUACCGCAACACACUGACUACGACGGCGACAAGAGUCCUAAACUGCUGAUCAUCGACGAUCUGAUGCGCGAAGCGUCCAACAACGUAGUCGUCGAUUUAUUCACCAAAGUUUGCCACCACAAAAACCUCAGCGUCUUCUACAUCACGCAAAACCUAUUUCACCAAGGACACGGUCAACGCGACAUUUCGUUAAACGCGAACCUUAUAGUAUUUUCCAAAAAUCCUCGGGACCGUGGUCAGAUACAACAUCUCGCGCGUCAGGUCUGUCCAGAGAACCCACGGUUUCUUCAAGAGGCCUAUCACGAUGCUACGGCCAUUCCGCACGGAUAUCUGUUACUCGACUUGAAACAAACGACCCCUGAAAACUGUCGCUUUCGGACGAAAAUAUUCCCUACGGACGAGAAACACUACGUAUACGUUCCGAAAAAGGAUAUAAAGUCGAACGGAACGGGUAAAGUCCCAGUCAUUCAGCUGUGAUGCCGCAAGGAAGUCGUCGGGGAAGCAGUGCCAGCUUUGGCAAAACAAACACUGUCGCUCUGCAGGCUCUGCAAAAAACUAAAUCCUACUCAAAAAUUGGCUUUGCUCCGUACCGCUGACAAAACGUUGGUGAGAGAUAUUUGCGAGUGCGCUCUCAAUGUCUUGCUGGGAAACGUGAAACUGUCGCGCGCCCAGAAAACCCGUCUCGUUCAACAUAAGCAAACGCUUCGUCAACUGGCCAAAAAGCAAGGUAGUUGGAAGAGUAAGAAAAAAAUUCUAAUUCAACGAGGAAACGGAUUUCUGACUCUCUUACUCGCACCGAUAUUAGGGACUUUGGCUUCUAGUCUGUUUUCAAAGUAAAAAGAAGAAUCACAGAGAGAAUGGAGCAUGCAAAGAAGAUGGUUUUAAUACCGGCGGAUACGAUUGAGAGAUUUCGACGUCGCGUCAGCGAGAAUACGACUGCGAAAGUUACACCGCCGACGACGAAUGACGCCGUCGACAAUCCUGUCUCGAGACUGGACCAGGAGAUGAGAGUUAUCUUGAACUCAAAGUCAGAGGACAACGCGGAAAAGUGGAAACUAUACCAGCAAGCGAUGCAGCGGUAUUUAUUUUUUGCAAACGAGGAUAGAAAGCCGUUGGAAGUUCUGAUUCGCGAUAACGGAGAAAGCAACACGGCGAGCCGAUUAUCCAACGAAAUACCGAGAGCGGUUGCGAAACGGAAGUAUCAGAAGAUAGUAGACGCUGUUCCGAACAGGUAUGCUGCAAAAGCGGGACUUUUGAUGCGAUUGCUGACGAUGAGCGACGAAACAUCUGCGCGUUUUGGAUGGGAUGUGUCCGGUGUUGUUUUAAUCGACGGAGUAAUCAUUCCCGGUACAAAUAUUGUCGAUCUGAUCAAUCACACGAUGCGCUCGAGAAAGACAUUUGAUCCCGCAGGAAGCAUAUAGUUUGCACGGUUUCUCCACGCGAUCAAAGUGCCGCGAGAGUGUGUGGGAAAUGAUGAAUUUUGGAAAACUAUUCGAUCGUUUGACGAGACGCGAAGAAGCCUCGUUCCGAAAAGGAGAAGACCCGUCACCACCACCACCAGCGAUAAAACCGAUGAGACGGCUAGCCCGCAACCUCAAGUUCCAGUAACGCGUAAUCGUUCGAAAGAGACCAACGUGUCUCCGGGAUCCCCCUAUUCGGGAGUACGAAAUUGGAAAAGACUGCGCUUUUCGAAGUGAUGCAAAUGCUCGAAGAGAUCUAUUACGAACCAGCACACCCUGCGGGCUACGCGGGUGCACGAAAUCUGGAACGGGCGGCUCGCGGCGAAAAGACUCGAGCGAUGGUGAAGAAAUGGCUGGCUGCACAGGAUACGUACACUUUGCACAAAUCCGUGCGAAGAAACUUUGAAAGAGCAAGAUACGACGUUUCCAGCAUCGACGACGUGUGGGAGGCUGAUCUGGCCGAUUUGAGCUCGAUGAGAAGAAAAAAUAACGGACAUCGCUAUUUACUGGUGGUCAUCGACGUUUUGAGCAAAUACGCCUGGGUCGUACCCCUGAAGUGUAAAACAGCCAAUUCCGUAGCGGAAGGAUUUCAACACGUGCUAACCACAACCCCACGUAGACCUGUUUUACUGCAGACCGACAAGGGUAAGGAGUUUGUCGGACGAACAUUUCAAAAGCUUCUUUCGGACAACGGCAUACGAUAUCGCACUACCCGCAAUCCCGAUAUACAAGCGGCUAUCGUCGAACGCUUCAAUCGCACACUCAAGGAGCGACUUUAGCGUUAUUUUACGCAUAAGAAUAGUCAGCGCUACGUAGACGUUUCACCACUCAUCGUUCAAGCGUACAACGAGACACGUCACUCGAGUAUCGGUAUGUCCCCUGCCGAGGUGACGCUAGAGAACGCUGCAAAAGCGCGGGCUUACAUGCAGAAGCGGUAUCCAGCACGUCGUAUCGGCAGACCCCGAUUUCGCGAAAACGAUAUCGUGCGAAUCAGCAAAACCAAAGGAACUUUCCAGAAAGGCUACGAGGCAAACUGGAGCGAAGAAUUGUUCAAAUUUCGCCAUGUACUCGCUCGCGCACGGAUUGUCGAUGUAUAAGAGGAUCUCUCCGGCAAAGAAAUUGACGGUACCUUCUACGAACCUGAGCUUCAGCGUAUUGAGGAAAGAGGUCCCGAUGGCGAUGCCCUCCAAAAUUGAAGAAAAAAAAAAGAGACAAAAGACUAGAUCAACGGUGUCGUCGAAGUCAUUCGUUCUGCGUACGUUGACGCGGAACCUCGCAAGACACGCCAGUGCGAUGGCAAAGGACCACUUUUACAUCACACUUCCGAGCAAUAGCUCAGUCCCCUUUUUCCCGGACAAUCGUUCCUGCUGCUACAUUACGCAGUUACCACGGACUGUGGUACGAUAACAAGAACGGCGAAACAGAUAUUUGCGAACCGCGUGGAAACGACGUACGACGAAAUCAUGCGAAACGGACGCGUCGUAGAUUUGAUCGGACAUCUUCACUGCGACGUCUUUAAUCAGGAAAAGUUUUUACUGAACGAUGUGGAACUACGAGUACGCCUCGUACGCUCGAAAGAUAGCUUCUGCCUUAUGGAAACUGAAGCGCUGCAUACUCUACAUAUUCUAGAAGCAUCUUUACUCGUGCGCCGGGUGAAAAUCAGCCCAGGUAUAUUGCUGGCUCAUGCAAGAACUCUAGCCAAGGGUACGGCAAAAUAACUGGUUACCCGAGUUGAAGUCAAAGCCUUCACCAUUCAUGCCGGCGUGCAGGCUGAGACGCUGGACAACGUCAUACUCGGACAACUACCGAAACGCGUCAUUUUGGGGCUAGUCAGCAACAAGGCUUUCAACGGUGACAGAAAACGGAAUCCCUUCAACUUUCAACAUUUCAUGCUGAAUUAUCUAUCGUUGUACGUCGACGGCAUUCAAAUACCCUCGAAAGCUUUGCAACCGAGCUUUGGAAAGAACGGCGUAUACGUCGACACGUAUCACACUUUAUUCUCUGGGACCGGAGUACAUUUUCUCAACGAGGGCUGCGGUAUCGGACGACUACACUAUGAAAUGGGAAAUUGUCUCACAGCAUUUGACCUAACGCCUGAUCUUGCGGCCAACUGUUCGUCUCACUGGUCACUCAUCAAACACGGAACACUCAGGAUUGAAUUACGCUUCGACGAUGCACUCAAAGAAACUAUCAACUGUAUCGUGUACGCGGAAUUCGACAAUAUUAUUGAAGUCGAUGCAUCGCGUCAGGUUGUCACAGAUUUCGGCUGUUAGCCCGAACGCUGACAAAAAAAAAGACGGAGCGACACGUGUUGGGAUCACCCCCGAACAGAAGCACAGUGGGAGGUACGGCUCGACGACUUUAAAAAGGGCAGUUUCGUAUUCGAGAGAAACAGUCAAGUGCUUCUCACCGUCUCGACAACAUCUUCAUCAGCGAUGGAUUUUAUCGUAGAUAUCCAAGGCUUCAGGGAUGUUUACGGACGUUUCUUGCCGAAAGAAGUGGCAUUAGUUGCACUCGAGAAUUCGUAUUUUUCUCACUGGGUCGUACAACCGCCAUACCCGUUUACCGAUCUAUCAGGGAAGGAGUGUGCCGUCAACAAUUACGUGACCUGUUAUCAUCACGGGAUCGAUUGGUUCGGAGGAGACAUAACGCUGCAUCAACUUGCUACCAAUUUACGAGAAAUCGCACGCCAUGCCCAUCGUAUCAUCACACGCGGUCGGGAAAAAGCCAAAUAUCUACAGGACAUCACUUCGCGGGAAAUCAUGAAUUCGGAAGAAGUCGACUGCCCCGUGUUCGCUAAAUUAGAUCGGAGCAAAGAAUAUUGCUUCUUUCACGGCGCUAAAAAAGAGGAAUUCUACGCGUAUGCUCCAAACAACGUGAUCAGAUUAAAGAAUUGGAUGAAUUCGAGGCGUAUCACAGGAGACUGCCACAAAGCGUACCCGCAGAAUAAUAAGACAUCGCGGUCUUCCACCAGAGACUCUCCCUUGCCAAUAGUAUCCGAGCAUCAGUCUCACGCAUCGAAUUCACCCGAAUCCCCGGUGGACGACAGAGCACCCAGCAGUUCUACCCUUGUAUCAGUCGACCAAGAACCUACGUACGCCACGGUAGUAGACACAUUCGGUAGUAUGAUCGUCUCCGAUACCGAAGAUGAACACCAUUCAAAUUCUGGAUGUACUGCCGGCGCUUCAAAGCGGAACUCGCGGGGUUUUUGCCGCGGAUCAAAUCCCUCUUGUUUGAACAGCACCAACAAUCAUCGUUGCAAACACCGAUGAUCACACGAGAGGGGGUAGCCACUGGGUCGCGUUCUACGUCAGUCCCACCGGUCAUGGAGUCUACUUCGACAGUUUCGGAAUGCCACCGCUCAUACCACAUCACAGACGAACACUGCGAUGCAACUGCAGAAGACUCCACUGGAACGUCAAACAACUUCGAAGUCUUUCUUCGGACGUAUGUGGACAAUACUGUAUUAUGUUUGUGCAUUUUAUGGCUAUUGGUUUUACUCUCGGGCAGUUUGUGGAUAUAUUCGAUAAUGACCACAAAAACAACGACCGCAUCGUGGCUGAAUUUUAUGAAGGGCUGACCUCCACCGAUCACUGUAACAAUGUAUCUCGAGUGCGAACACCACACUGCAUUCAGUGCUGCGGAGCCAAAAAACUGUCAAAGAACGACAGACGAGAGUUUCUAGUCUUCUCAUGUUGUACAAAUUCUCAACUCUUUCUCAUUUACCAUUAGAACGUAAGCUUUAGAUUUAUAAUCACCAAAACUAGUGUACUUAUUUCUUACAACGCCAUUAGAAAAAUUAAACAUUACUUUUACCGAUAGAACGUAAGCUUUACAUAUAAUCACCAAAAACUAUUGUACUCAUUUCUUACAAAA